GACGAACGCUGGCGGCGUGCUUAACACAUGCAAGUCGAACGGUGAAGGGACUGGUUUUGCUGGUCCUGGAUGAGUGGCGAACGGGUGAGUAACACGUGAGUAACCUGCCCCCUUCUUCUGGAUAACCGCAUGAAAGUGUGGCUAAUACGGGAUAUUCUGGGUCUGUCGCAUGGUGGGCCUGGGAAAGAUUGCGCCUUUUUUGGUGUUUUUGGUGGGGGAUGGGCUCGCGGCCUAUCAGCUUGUUGGUGGGGUGAUGGCCUACCAAGGCGGUGACGGGUAGCCGGCCUGAGAGGGUGGACGGUCACACUGGGACUGAGACACGGCCCAGACUCCUACGGGAGGCAGCAGUGGGGAAUAUUGCAAAAUGGGCGAAAGCCUGAUGCAGCGACGCCGCGUGAGGGAUGGAGGCCUUCGGGUUGUGAACCUCUUUCGCCAGUGAAGCAGGCCUGCCUCUUUUUGUGGGUGGGUUGACGGUAGCUGGAUAAGAAGCGCCGGCUAACUACGUG
rnacentral:rRNA from 1 species